rnacentral:rRNA from 1 species
UGGGGAAUUUUGGACAAUGGGCGCAAGCCUGAUCCAGCAAUGCCGCGUGCAGGAUGAAGGCCUUCGGGUUGUAAACUGCUUUUGUACGGAACGAAACGGCGAGCUCUAAUACAGUUUGCUAAUGACGGUACCGUAAGAAUAAGCACCGGCUAACUACGUGCCAGCAGCCGCGGUAAUACGUAGGGUGCAAGCGUUAAUCGGAGUUACUGGGCGUAAAGCGUGCGCAGGCGGUUAUGUAAGACAGAUGUGAAAUCCCCGGGCUUAACCUGGGAACUGCAUUUGUGACUGCAUAGCUAGAGUACGGUAGAGGGGGAUGGAAUUCCGCGUGUAGCAGUGAAAUGCGUAGAUAUGCGGAGGAACACCGAUGGCGAAGGCAAUCCCCUGGACCUGUACUGACGCUCAUGCACGAAAGCGUGGGGAGCAAACA